rnacentral:rRNA from 1 species
GACGUAGGGCGCGAGCGUUGUCCGGAUUUAUUGGGCGUAAAGAGCUCGUAGGCGGCUUGUCGCGUCGAAUGUGAAAACUCGGGGCUCAACUCCGAGCUUGCAUUCGAUACGGGCAGGCUAGAGUUCGGUAGGGGAGACUGGAAUUCCUGGUGUAGCGGUGAAAUGCGCAGAUAUCAGGAGGAACACCGGUGGCGAAGGCGGGUCUCUGGGCAGUAACUGACGCUGAGGAGCGAAAGCGUGGGGAGCGAACAGGA